CAACCUAUCCUAUUAAAACGUUCCUUCCUUUCCCCGCCACUCCUCUAACCGGAAGUUACACCUAAACAUCACAAUUCACUCAAACAAUUUUCAUCGGCAACACACAAUGUAUUCACCCAUUGCUUCUUCUUCUUGUUUUCUAGGGCGUGCUACUUACUUUGAAGGCCUCUGGUCACUUUUUAAAUUGAAAUAAACGUACCCAAAAUCAUUGUGCCUCAAGCCUCGGCGAAGGAACAAGAAAGGACAAUGGAAUGAAUUGCUUGGUUACUGCAAGUAUAGAGGCACCAAAAAAAUGGAGGCUAUACAUUUCUCCUUUGCCUUCCCCAGCUAUAGUGAAAACCAGUGCUCAUCUACACAAAAUCUCUCAACAGGUUGAUGCUUGUAUUGUUAGGAUAAUGGGGACCAGAGAGUGCAAAUUUUUUGAUAUCUGAACUCUUUCAGCAGGUGAAUCUGUAUCGUUUGUGAAUUAAGCUGAUGAUAAUCAACAACAUUGUCGUGCUACAAGACCCUUAAUAUGAGUAUCGAAGAAGUGGUCACACUUUCAAAUGCAAUGAGAACAAAAAUGCUGGCCAUGUUGUUGAUGUUAUAGAGCGAUCUUCAUCCUCGUAGGCUGAUGUUACCAUUUUAUUGUUUGUACAUUUGAAUAUAAAACAAUUUGACACAAGAAUCACAUAGCAAUUCAAGAAGACCUCUUUUCUACUUUCUCUAGAAGGGAGCACCAUCAACAAUCAAAUAGCAUAUUUUGGUUUCAGAGCACAGAGCCUAUGUUUCCUUCUUUUUAGUUUCUUGUCCUUAUUGUAUUUAUUAUAAUGAAUCACUACAUUUGGUAUUUGUGACGA